GACACAUUGGUUGAUGUAUCACAAUGGGAAUCAAACCCGGGUCUCCCACACCAAAGGCACGUGUCAUAUCCACUGCGCCAUCACCACCCGUGAGCAGACAUUCUGUUAUGUAAAUGAACUCAUCGCCCUCACGUUUGAGAGUGUUGUCCCUGACCCAGCACCUUUUACUGAAGAGCUGCAGAAGAUCACCAUUCCAGAGGAUCUUUGCACUGAGUUCUCUGUGCCAUCCAUGGAAGAGGCCAUUGCAGGAUAUGUGUCACGCUUCAAUCCAGCACAGGUCGAAAACCAGUUGAGGUGAGCCAGCCUGAGCUCAGCUGGACCGACAACCUCAACGAAGUUAGCGCAAGGAGGAGCAACGGCAGAGAUGAUCACAUUGCCCCGCUGCACCACUUCCUGCAGGAAUUUUUGGAGAGAGCUGUUCACACCCUUAUCCAGUCGCAAAUGGUUUGAUGUGAUGUCCUACAGUAUAUCUGUUUUUUCUCUCUCUGCUUUCACAGGUUUUCUUUGAUCAUCGUUGUGCUUGCUGCAACUGUUAUUACUAGACUAUUUCUACUACAGUUCAUAUCAUUCUAUUAUACCCACUGCUUUAAAUAUAAAUAUUUCUAUUGUUGCUUUAGUUGUUAAUGUUAACUUGCUAUUGUGGUUGCUGUUCAUCUCUGUUCCAUGAAUGCCUGUUACCAACUUAUCAUCUUUAUUAGGAUUGUGGUGGUCCUGCUGACACCCAUUAUUAUUAUAGUUAAUGUCAUUAUUAUAUGCCCCCCCCCCUCCCCCCUAUCUCUCUCUUUCUCUCCCCCCAACCGGCAGCGUCAGAUGGCUGCCCACCAAGAGCCUGGUUCUGUCCGAGGUUUCUGCCUGUUAAAAGGAAGUUUUUCCUCGCCACUGUUGCACCAAAUGCUUGCUCUUGGUGGGUAUUGUUGGGUCUCUGUAAAUAAAAUUGAAUUGGACAUUUGUAAGCUUCUGUUGCCAAUUGUUUCUCUGCUGUGGCCCUCACACUUCUUGGUGUUGUAAAACAGGAGUUCUCUGGUUUAAUUAAUGUAGCAUAAUAUAAUUAAAACAGCUGUAUAUAUAAAUAUAUUA